CUACGGGACGCUGCAGUGGGGAAUAUUGGACAAUGGGGGAAACCCUGAUCCAGCAAUGCCGCGUGUGUGAAGAAGGCCUGCGGGUUGUAAAGCACUUUCGGUUGGGAGGACUGCUUCUAGCACUAAUAUUGUUGGAAGUUGACGUUACCUUCAGAAGAAGCACCGGGUAACUCCGUGCCGGCGGCCGCGGUAAAUACGGAGGGUGCAAGCGUUAAUCGGAAUUACUGGGCGUAAAGCGCGCGUAGGCGGCUAGAUCAGUCGGGUGUGAAAGCCCCGGGCUUAACCUGGGAACUGCAUCCGAGAAUGUCUAGCUUGAGUACAGGAGAGGAGAGUGGAAUUCCACAUGUAGCGGUGAAAUGCGUAGAUAUGUGGAGGAACACCAAUGGCGAAGGCAGCUCUCUGGCCUGAUACUGACGCUGAGGUGCGAAAGCGUGGGGAGCAAACAGGAUUAGAUACCCCUGUAGUC
rnacentral:rRNA from 1 species